CGUAGGGUGCAAGCGUUGUCCGGGAUUAUUGGGCGUAAAGAGCUCGUAGGCGGCUUGUCGCGUCGGCUGUGAAAACCUAGGGCUCAACCCUGGGCUUGCAGCCGAUACGGGCAAGCUAGAAUUCGGUAGGGGAGACUGGAAUUCCUGGUGUAGCGGUGAAAUGCGCAGAUAUCAGGAGGAACACCGGUGGCGAAGGCGGGUCUCUGGGCCGAUAUUGACGCUGAGGAGCGAAAGCGUGGGGAGCGAACAGGAUUAGAUACCCUGGUAGUCCACGCCGUAAACGUUGGGAACUAGGUGUGGGCUCCAUUCCACGGAGUCUGUGCCGCAGCUAACGCAUUAAGUUCCCCGCCUGGGGAGUACGGCCGCAAGGCUA
rnacentral:rRNA from 1 species